UGCUCUUAGAACCAGGAACAGCAGAAAG
rnacentral:piRNA from 1 species